rnacentral:rRNA from 1 species
UCGAACGGACUCAUAUUGAAACCUAGUGAUUUAUGAGUUAGUGGCGGACGGGUGAGUAACGCGUGGAUAACCUGCCGUAUACCGGGGGAUAACACUUAGAAAUAGGUGCUAAUACCGCAUAAGCGCACGGCUCCGCAUGGGGCAGUGUGAAAAACUCCGGUGGUAUACGAUGGAUCCGCGUCUGAUUAGCUAGUUGGCGGGGUAACGGCCCACCAAGGCAGCGAUCAGUAGCCGGCCUGAGAGGGUGGACGGCCACAUUGGGACUGAGACACGGCCCAAACUCCUACGGGAGGCAGCAGUGGGGAAUAUUGCACAAUGGGGGAAACCCUGAUGCAGCGACGCCGCGUGAGUGAAGAAGUAUCUCGGUACGUAAAGCUCUAUCAGCAGGGAAGAAAAUGACGGUACCUGACUAAGAAGCCCCGGCUAACUACGUGCCAGCAGCCGCGGUAAUACGUAGGGGGCAAGCGUUAUCCGGAUUUACUGGGUGUAAAGGGAGCGUAGACGGCAGCACAAGUCUGGAGUGAAAUCCCGGGGCUUAACCCCGGAACUGCUUUGGAAACUGUGCGGCUGGAGUGCAGGAGGGGUAAGCGGAAUUCCUAGUGUAGCGGUGAAAUGCGUAGAUAUUAGGAGGAACACCGGUGGCGAAGGCGGCUUACUGGACUGUAACUGACGUUGAGGCUCGAAAGCGUGGGGAGCAAACAGGAUUAGAUACCCUGGUAGUCCACGCCGUAAACGAUGAUUACUAGGUGUCGGGGGACCAAGGUCCUCCGGUGCCGGCGCAAACGCAUUAAGUAAUCCACCUGGGGAGUA